rnacentral:rRNA from 1 species
CGGACGGGUGAGUAACGCGUGGAUAACCUGCCUUUCACAGGGGGAUAACAGCUGGAAACGGCUGCUAAUACCGCAUGAGCCUCUUUUGUCGCAUGAGGAGAGAGGGAAAGAGAAAUCGGUGAGAGAUGGAUCCGCGUCCGAUUAGCUAGUUGGAGGGGUAACAGCCCACCAAGGGCGACGAUCGGUAGCCGACCUGAGAGGGUGGACGGCCACAUUGGGACUGAGACACGGCCCAAACUCCUACGGAAGGCAGCAG